CAGUUUCGGAUAAACUAUGCCUAAUCAUACCAAUAAUUAUUUUGGACAAAAUAAUAGUAUUUCGCUGGUUUAGAUAUCUGAUUAACUAUAUUAGUUAUACAACAAUCGAUCAAUUUGAAUAAAAUCCAUAAAAAUAGUUGCAACUUUUCUGAAGUACAAAUUAUUUCGUAAAUUGUAGUAUCUCUAGAUUAAAUUAUUAAAUUUUACAGCUAAGUAUCAUUUUUUUAAGAUGCCUCCAGCAUAAAUAGUUGAAAGCAAAGUUUAGAACAUGCCCAGUUACAAAAAAAAAAAAAAAGUUUAGAACAUGAAAUUCGUAGUUUCGUGUCUUGUCACCUUAAUGAUUUUGAAUAAACCUUAUGGAUGCUACUGCUCGUCAGCAAUAUGACCUUAACUCUUG
rnacentral:lncRNA from 1 species